CCUGCCCAUUGAAUAAUUUAAAAGGCCGCGGUAUAUUAACUGUGCAAAGGUAGCAUAAUCAUUAGUUUUUUAAUUGAAGGCUUGUAUGAAGGGUUGGACAAAGAAUAAUCUGUUUUUAUUUUUAUUUUUGAAUUUAACUUUUAAGUGAAAAGGCUUAAAUGAAUUUAAGGGACGAUAAGACCCUAUAAAUCUUUAUAUUAGAUUAUUUUUAGUUAUUUAAUAUUGUAAAUAUAGUAAUAAAAUGAUAUAUAUUGUGUUGGGGUGAUGAGAAUAUAAUAAAUAACUGUUCUAAAAUUAAAACAAAAUUAUUUGUAAAAAAUAAAUGAUCCUUUAUUGAGAUUAAAAGUUCAAGUUACUUUAGGGAUAACAGCGUUAUUUUUUUUGAGAGUUCUUAUCGAAAAAAAAGUUUGCGACCUCGAUGUUGAAUUAAAAUUUCUUUGUGGUGU
rnacentral:rRNA from 1 species